rnacentral:rRNA from 1 species
GUGUCAGCAGCCGCGGUAAUACGUAGGUGGCGAGCGUUAUCCGGAAUUACUGGGCGUAAAGCGCAAGCAGGCGGCAAUUUAAGUCUGACGUGAAAUCUCCUGGCUUAACUGGGAGAGGUCGUUGGAAACUGGAUUGCUUGAGGUGGUGAGAGGGGUGUGGAAUUCCCGGUGUAGUGGUGGAAUGCGUAGAUAUCGGGAGGAACACCAGAGGCGAAAGCGACACCCUGGCACUUGCCUGACGCUGAGAUGCGAAAGCGUGGGGAGCAAACGGGAUUAGAAACCCCCGUAGUCC